rnacentral:rRNA from 1 species
UACGUAGGGUGCGAGCGUUGUCCGGAAUUAUUGGGCGUAAAGAGCUCGUAGGCGGUCUGUCGCGUCGGUCGUGAAAACUUGGGGCUUAACCCUGAGCUUGCGGUCGAUACGGGCAUGACUGGAGUUCGGCAGGGGAGACUGGAAUUCCUGGUGUAGCGGUGAAAUGCGCAGAUAUCAGGAGGAACACCGGUGGCGAAGGCGGGUCUCUGGGUCGUACCUGACGCUGAGGCGCGAAAGCUAGGGGAGCAAACGGG